GGCCAGACUCCUACGGGAGGCAGCAGUGAGGAAUAUUGGUCAAUGGACGAGAGUCUGAACCAGCCAAGUAGCGUGAAGGAUGACUGCCCUAUGGGUUGUAAACUUCUUUUAUAAAGGAAUAAAACGAGGCACGUGUGCCUUUUUGCAUGUACUUUAUGAAUAAGGAUCGGCUAACUCCGUGCCAGCAGCCGCGGUAAUACGGAGGAUGCGAGCGUUAUCCGGAUUUAUUGGGUUUAAAGGGUGCGUAGGCGGGCAUUUAAGCCGGCGGUCAAAUGUCGGGGCUCAACCCCGGCCUGCCGUCGGAACUGGGUGCCUUGAGUGGGCGGGAAGUAUGCGGAAUGCGUGGUGUAGCGGUGAAAUGCAUAGAUAUCACGCAGAACCCCGAUUGCGAAGGCAGCAUACCGGCGCCCUACUGACGCUGAGGCACGAAAGUGCGGGUAUCGAACAGGAUUAGAUACCCUGGUAA
rnacentral:rRNA from 1 species